rnacentral:sRNA from 1 species
GAAGAAACUGUCAGUGCCAGUGAAGAAGAAAACGUGGGACACCAGCAGGCUGGGAAUGUGAAGCAGCAGGAAAAAUCGCAGCCCUCAGAGAGUCGCUGGCUGAAGUAUCUAGAAAAGGACUCCCAAGAACUGGAGCUGGAAGGAACAGGAGUGUGUUUCAGCAAACAGCCUUCAUCCAAAAUGGAGGAGCCAGGCCCCCACUUCAGUCAAGACCUGCCUAGAAAAAGGUACCAAGUGCGUCUCCGUUCCAGCCCUGGCCCAGGGCCUCUGCUGCCUCCAGCAGUGGGGCACCAGUGAGCCACUGUGAGCGUCAGCCAAGCGCGGGAAGCCUAGGUGGCAAGUGCCAGCAGGUGGGAAAUCGGGCAGCUGCUGCCACUGCUGGCCCCACAGCCCACCUGGGCAUUGGGCACUGCCGGUGCAGAGGCGAAGGCUUGGGCAGGACACCCGUGUGCACACCCUUUUUGAUGCCCACUUAAUUCUGAACAUCUCAGACUGUACUGACCCCAGGGGAGUGGUCGGAGUAGCUGGCAGGCCUGAGAGCUUUUAGCUCAGAGAAGCAGAGGCCUCAGACUUGAAGGAAGUUUUCUUCUGCUUCAGGCAUUUCAGUGAGACUUUUGGAGAGACUGCUUUAGGUUAAGGAUCUAGGGAGGCUCUUAGAGGGCAGGUGCUUUCAGGAGGAUCAUUUGAUCCUCCAGUCCGGGCAACAUGGGGAGACCCUAUCUGUACAACAGAUUUUUUAAAACAAAUUCAUAGGGCAUGGUGGUGCAUGCCUGUGGUCC